rnacentral:lncRNA from 1 species
AGGGGACGCUGUUUGGCAUUCCAGCCGCUGCCACGGAGGCUCCGUUCCUGCUUCACAAAGGCGGCCAUCAUCGACGGGGGUGUGUGUGUGUUUCCUGCUUGCAAGCUUUUCCUUCCCCUCCCUUUUAAAACUUUUUUCACCGGCACAACUGAAUAAAUACGGUCCCGCAGAAGCCCCCCAGGAGGGACGCCCCAGCAGCGGAGGGCGGAGGCCCAGGCAGCAAAGCGGCCCCAACAUCCACACGGCCGCUGGCGCACGGAGGAGGAGCGAGAGCGAAAGAGAGGAGAGGAGAGAGGGGGAGAAAGAAAGAGGGAGGGAGGGAGGGAGGGAGAGGAGAUGGACAGGCACGUCCAGUCUCUUGAGUUUGACGCCAGGCCUCCUCCUGUCACUCCUGGCCUGGCCCUUCUGCUUCGGCGUCACCGGUCCUGGCAAAGGGGGGACCGGAGGGCCAAAAACAAACCAGGCACGGGGGACGCAGCAACAGCCAAAGGCCUCAACGGGUCCUAGAGCCGCGGCAAUCCCGCGGCUUCUUUUGAGUCUCCGGUGCCUGCGGAGGGCGCUGCUGGGCGUCCCCGGCGCACUUUCUUUCCCGCCAGGCGGGGGCGAGGCGAAUGAAAGACGACGGAGUGAGGUGGCUGAGCAAGAGGAGGGAGGGGGGCGGAGCCCCGGAGGCGUCGUCGGGCGCUGCUCCUUGCGGGGCGACUACCGGUCCAUCUCGUCCAGGAGCGGGGUGGCGUCGCCGGCCACGGACAUGGGCGUGCUCUCGAUCAUGGGGCUGGGCGAGGGGCGAGGGGUCAGCCGCUGCUUCUGCUUCCGGCGCUCGGCCUCCUUCUCCUGCAGCCACUGUUCGGCCAUCUUGCCCCAGUCGAUGGGCGCGUGGGACGUGGACCUGCAGGGGAAACGGGGGACGGCGAUGAGGAGGAGGAGGCGGGGGGGGGCAUGGGUCCCUGCAGCUGCGUCCUAUGGGUGGGCCAUUCCGGUGGCAGGGCUGUCCAACCUCGGGCACUUGAAGACCAGGGCAGCUUGGACACCCCUGCUCUUAGCACCCACGGCCACUACCCCAUUUCUCUCAAAAUACCACCUACCCUGAAAGUAAGCCCUAGCUUGAUUUUUAACACGUGCCGCCCAAUAUAAGCCCUAAUUAAAAUCCCGCCCACUGCAGAAUGGACAGGUAGAAAUGAAGCUCGGGUGGGGAUGGGUGGUGGUGGAGCCACCCAACUACUUCCC